AAGGGAAUAACUGGGUCAAAUGGUGGUUUCAUUCCAAGUUUUCUGGGUAAUCUCAAGACUGCCUUCCAAAGUAGUUGCACCAAUUUGCAGUCCUACCAGCUGU
rnacentral:pre_miRNA from 1 species